GAGCGGACAGAUGGGAGCUUGCUCCCUGAUGUUAGCGGCGGACGGGUGAGUAACACGUGGGUAACCUGCCUGUAAGACUGGGAUAACUCCGGGAAACCGGGGCUAAUACCGGAUGGUUGUUUGAACCGCAUGGUUCAAACAUAAAAGGUGGCUUCGGCUACCACUUACAGAUGGACCCGCGGCGCAUUAGCUAGUUGGUGAGGUAACGGCUCACCAAGGCAACGAUGCGUAGCCGACCUGAGAGGGUGAUCGGCCACACUGGGACUGAGACACGGCCCAGACUCCUACGGGAGGCAGCAGUAGGGAAUCUUCCGCAAUGGACGAAAGUCUGACGGAGCAACGCCGCGUGAGUGAUGAAGGUUUUCGGAUCGUAAAGCUCUGUUGUUAGGGAAGAACAAGUACCGUUCGAAUAGGGCGGUACCUUGACGGUACCUAACCAGAAAGCCACGGCUAACUACGUGCCAGCAGCCGCGGUAAUACGUAGGUGGCAAGCGUUGUCCGGAAUUAUUGGGCGUAAAGGGCUCGCAGGCGGUUUCUUAAGUCUGAUGUGAAAGCCCCCGGCUCAACCGGGGAGGGUCAUUGGAAACUGGGGAACUUGAGUGCAGAAGAGGAGAGUGGAAUUCCACGUGUAGCGGUGAAAUGCGUAGAGA
rnacentral:rRNA from 1 species